rnacentral:tRNA from 2 species
GGCAAGAUGGCCGAGCGGUCUAAGGCGCUGUGUUCAGGUUCCUCAGCUUCCGAGCAGUUGAAUUUCGCAGUCUUCGGGCGUGGGUUCGAAUCCCACUCUUGUCA